GGGAAUAUAGUUAAGUAUAACAUUUGAUUUGCAUUCAAAAAGUAUUGAUAAUCAAUUAUUCUUA
rnacentral:tRNA from 1 species